CAGGUAAUAAUAAUAAUAAUAAUAAUAAUAAUAAUAAUAAUAAUAAUAAUAAUAAUAAUAAUAAUAAUAAUGAUAAUAAUAAUAAUAAUAAUAAUAAUAAUAAUAAUAAUAAUAAUAAUAAUACCCUAACCCUAAGUUUUUGUCAAAGAAACUUCAUCAAAGCAGAAGAAACGACUCUUUGUUCAUUACAACUCACAGAAACUGAGCUGGGUUUGAUUUCAUCAGGAGCUAACAGUGUGUGUGUGUGUGUGUGUGUGUGUGUGUGUUACAGGUGUUUGUUGUUUCUGCCUGUUGUCGUUGUUGCCUCUCUGGCUGCUCCGCUCCAUCACGGACAAACAGAGGAUGAGAUGAGUGUAACGGACCCAACACAUCUGAGUGAUGAGAAGAACAGCCGGGCAUCUCAGUCCACAGUGGACGCUCCUAAAGAGACAGAAGAGUCCGACCUCACGGUGGACACAUCGGACUCAUCGUCAGAGAACAUCCAGUCUGAAGCCCUGAGUCCAGACAGCAUAGACGACAGGGACUCCCAGGAGGUCCAAACAGAGGUCCAGGAGGCCUACAGCACUGAGAACAAGAACUCUGCUGAGAAGAUCAACACUGAGCUAUCCAACAUUGAAGACUCAAAAGAAGAAGUUGACAGUAACUCUGAGACUGAAGAUGACCAACCAGAUGCUGCUGAGGACUCCAAGGACAACAGCUCACAUAUGGAGGACUUCAAGAAGCCCUCUACAGAUGUGAAGGACAAUGAAGACAACUCAGAAGAGACAGAUGACGAGUCUGAUACAAGAGGAGACAAGACCAGUGAGGAACCUUCAGAAGAGAUGGCUGUGAGAUCGGCCGAGGAGCUGGACCUCAAGAGAGAUAGUCACAGCGAGGACAUCUCAGCUCAAGACAUCUCAGAUAAAAACAUCUCAGCUCAGGACAUCGCAGAUGAAGAUGUCUCAGAUAAAAACAUCUCAAAUCAGGACAUCUCAGCUCAGGACAUCGCAGAUGAAGAUGUCUCAGAUAAAAACAUCUCAAAUCAAGAUGUCUCAGCUGGAAAUGUCUCAGCAGAGGAUAUUUUGGCAGAAGAAGUGUCCACUGAGGACGCAGCAGACAGUGAUGGACACGACACUCAGACCCAGAGUGAAGGACACACUUCAUCAGACACUAGUGAGGACCAACGAGGCAUCAGCGGAACACAGAGAGUGGAGGCUGUGAAUUCAAUGAAAGUCACACCUGACCAACCAGAAGACUCCUCCUCUUCUUCUUCUUCUACAGACGUCCCAAGUUAGACACUGUUCAUCUGAUCUGAGGCCGACGCCCCCUGAAGAGCUGAAGCUGAUAAAGGUCACGUGAGCAGAGCAGCUGACCAGUAUCUCCAGCCUGGUUUUGUUCCAGGAUGAUGGAGUCAAUCUUUUAUUCAACUAUGUUUAAUGUUUAAUGGUUUUGUCCAGAUUAAAGCAACCACUGAUCGCACAA
rnacentral:lncRNA from 1 species